UCGAGUUAAUCUCCUCUUUCAUCUUCUUCCUCACAAUAAGAAACAAAACUAGUUACCGAAUAAUCUUCAAACUCAUCCAUUAAUCUCUCACACACGAUCUAUAUUCAAUGUGAUAUCUGAUUAUACAUGACGGUGAGGUUCAUCUAUAAAAAGACGGGCCGCUCCUCCUACACUGUACAAGUCCGGUUGUUCCGUUUGUGGGAAGCCAGGAAUGUCCGCUGUGGUGAAGAGCUCAUGGGAGUGGAUAUACUUCUACUGGAUUCUCAGGACUUCUACGGCGACCACCUUCAACGGAGGUCUUCUCAGAAAUUUAUCAACUUUCCUGAAGCUUCAAAGAUAUCUCAAAGCGUCCACAGCCAUGGAGAGAACCAAAGUCCAGAGUACUAUGCGGAGCCAAUCGUACGUUUCCUUAGAUCAUUUUCUUUCAUCUUUUUUUUUUUAAUUUAAGUAUGCUUACUUCCUUUGUAUUCUUUUACUGGAAUUCUCUUUGUCUUCUGGUGGUUUCACGGCGGAUCCAUCACUUGAGUGAAAGGUUGUUCAAAAUGUGGGCUCCAAAAUAAUGGAUUUGACAGGUUUAAGUAUUUUUUCCAUGCAUGAAGCUUGGAUUCGUAUUUAGCUAUUUUAGUAGGAGAAAUGAGUACUGAAGAAAUAAUUAAUAUAAGUAAUAUUUUCUUGCACAACACAUUAUUUAGCAACAAAUCUGUUUCUAAGAGAGCUACAUAUGUAUGUACUAUGUAAUUCCUAAUUUAGUUUUCUUGGUAAAUCCAGUUUCGAUUCAGAAACAUUGCGGCUAUCUCUCUAACUAUGCAGAUCUGUGCGAGAGUAUAUGAUUGGGCAAUUGAUGUGUCUUGGUUUUUCCAAGAGUUAAGGAAUUCAUGUUGUUUUCUUUGUGCUUCUGAACUCUUAUGUUGAUCCAGAGUACAAAGACUACAUAGGUAAUUUGAUCAACACUCUUUAUGCAUAUUCAAAAGUUACAUAUCAGUUGAUUAUUUUCUUUGAUGUCCUGUGUUAUAAUCCCUCAACAUUAUAGAGUGUAGAAGUUUAGUAGUCCAACAAGUUGAUCACAUAUAGAAAACAUUGAACUUUGAACUACUUUUUCAUUGUGUUUAAAAGUACCCAUUGUUCAUACUUCAUCUGUAUGAAUGAUGACAUGACAUCGGGUUUGACCGAGAAUGUAUUACAGCGGACGUAGCGCUGGUUUAACUCCAUUGGUGCAGGCUUAGCAAUGUCACCAGAUUUGCGGGCCUACCAAAAUAUAAAAGCAGAAACGUUUAUGCAGCUUAUUUGCCAUUUCUGCUGGAGAACAGAGCUAGCAGCUGCAAAUACUGAAGGAAGCUGAGAGCUUGACUUCUUGAACGGCGUCAACCUUGAUUCUCAAUUUCCAAGUCAUUUUUUUCAGUUCCACGAUUGCUAAACUGGAAUAUGAAGCUAGAGUGGAAAUCAUUGUGAAGGAUGGUUUUUGUCUGAUAAAAUGAUGCAGAUGAGUGAUGGACAAAGGAUAGAAGCAUUGCAAAGGACAAGAAUUCUGAGACAACUGUGAGAUCUAAAUAUUUACAUUUCGAUACUACGGAAACUUAAAAAAUCUUCCAUCGUUUUUAGACUUUCACCCUAAUUGAUUCAAUGUCCACAAUCUCAAACAAGUAAGAUAUCUGCAUAUAUUCUAACAGAUGUGUGUUUUUAUGUUGUCUCCAACAUGUAACUAAUAGUGUGAUCUUUCUCUUUCUUUUUUUGAAUAUUCGGUGACCACAAUCAAUGAUUUCCAAAAAGCUUUUAUAUCUCAAGAACUGUGAUGCAAUGUAUUUUCCUCCAUUACUCUAUUCCAAACUUUUUAUACCUUUCUAU